rnacentral:ribozyme from 1 species
UUAAGUCGAUUUCUCUGCAUUGGGAUGGAAUCCGAAGCCCUCCGAGGGUUAAUACAGACUCUCUCAUUCAACUCCUAUUCCGACACGACCUCGUCGUGCAAAGUGGUAGCAUGUUCCACCACAUAUACAAGCGUGGGUACACGUGCUUGACCCAACCCUUUGGGCGGAUGGUGGCACAUCGUGAACCAGGAAGGG